rnacentral:rRNA from 1 species
CCUACGGGUGACAGCAGUCGAGAAUCAUUCACAAUGGGGGAAACCCUGAUGGUGCGACGCCGCGUGGGGGAAUGAUGGUCUUCGGAUUGUAAACCCCUGUCAUGUGGGAGCAAAUUAAAAAGAUAGUACCACAAGAGGAAGAGACGGCUAACUCUGUGCCAGCAGCCGCGGUAAUACAGAGGUCUCAAGCGUUGUUCGGAAUCACUGGGCGUAAAGCGUGCGUAGGCUGUUUGGUAAGUCGUGUGUGAAAGGCCCGGGCUCAACCCGCGGACGGCACAUGAUACUGCGAGACUAGAGUAAUGGAGGGGGAAGCGGAAUUCUCGGUGUAGCAGUGAAAUGCGUAGAUAUCGAGAGGAACACUCGUGGCGAAGGCGGGUUCCUGGACAUUAACUGACGCUGAGGCACGAAGGCCAGGGGAGCGAAAGGGAUUAGAUACCCCUGUAGUC